GCAAAAAUAAAAAUAACCACCAAAGAAGAAGACGUCGAAGCUCUCGUGUCGUGUUUUGCAUUUCCGAGGAGGUCUGUAGUAAGAUAUCAUCACCGACUAAUCUGUCUGUACACAAUAAAUUACAAUCCAUCAGAUCCAGAACAAACCAAGGACCCGUCAAGCACGUCGGCCGCCCUGCGCUCCGUCCCUCAAUGUGACCUUUCCUUUUUCCUCCUGAACCAUCAGAGGAAGUCUUCAGCAAACCUGCCCAUCCCUUGAAAAAAACCCAGGGCAUCUGUCAUUCCGGAUAAAUGAAAGCUACAAAGCAACAUUAACCGGAGGUAGAGAAUAAAGAACAUAACUCAGACUUUGGUACGUUACUGGUGUCUUCCUCUGAGGGUCUCGCUGCACAAAGGAUUCCGGGAGCCGACCCAAAAGACCCCAGCGGAGGAAAACAUCUGUCCCCCCUUCGCAUGACUGAUCAUAGAGUGGC
ensembl:lncRNA